rnacentral:rRNA from 1 species
CGCGGGAUUGGGGCACGGGGGGACGGGGCGCAGCAGGCGCGAAACCUCCUCAAUGCACUAACGUGCGAAGGGGUUACCUCGAGUGCUACCUGAAGAAGGUGGCUUUUCCUUGGUCUAAAAAGACUCGGGAAUAAGAGGGGGGCAAGACUGGUGUCAGCCGCCGCGGUAACACCAGCCCCUCGAGUGGUGGGGAUGAUUAUUUGGCCUAAAGCGUCCGUAGCCGGCCGGGUAAGUUUCCCGUUAAAUCCAGCGUCUCAAGCGUUGGACUGCGGGAAAUACUGCCUGGCUAGAGAGUGGGAGAGGUCAGCGGUAUUCUGGGGGUAGGGGCGAAAUCCUUUGAUCCCCGGAGGACCACCAGUGGCGAAGGCUGCUGACUAGAACACGUCUGACGGUCAGGGACGAAAGCUGGGGUAGCGAACCGGAUUAGAUACCCGGGUAGUCCCAGCCGUAAACGAUGCAUGCUAGGUGUUGGGUUGGCCACGAGCCACCCCAGUGCCGCAGGGAAGCCGUUAAGCAUGCCGCCUGGGAAGUACGAUCGCAAGAUUGAAACUUAAAGGAAUUGGCGGGGGAGCACCCACCAGGCGUGAAGCCUGCGGUUUAAUUGGAGUCAACGCCGGGAACCUUACCGGAAGCGACAGCAGAGUGAAGGCCAGAUUGAAGAUCUUGCCAGACGAGCUGAGAGGAGGUGCAUGGCCGUCGCCAGUUCGUGCCGUGAGGUGUUCUCUUAAGUGGGAUAACGAACGAGACCCGCGCCACAUGUUGCCAUCAGAAUCUAAAGGAUUGCUGGGCACUCUUGUGGGACCGCAGCCGAUAAGGCUGAGGAAGGGGCGGGCAACGGCAGGUCAGUAUGCCCCGAAUCUUCCGGGCCACACGCGGGCUGCAAUGGUAUGGACAGAGGGCUGCCACCCCGAAAGGGGGAGCCAAUCCCUAAACCAUACCUCAGUUGGGAUUGAGGGCUGCAACCCGCCCUCAUGAACAUGGAAUGCCUAGUAACUGCCAGUCAUCAUCUGGCGGUGAAUACGUCCCUGCUCCUUGCACGAAUUCGCCGAAUCACUAGU